UCCCGUUUGACACGGGCACUCUCCCAUCUCUGGGAGAUUCCGUGCAAGUCAAGGGUAGGUAAGGUUUUUCGCGUUGCAUCGAAUUAAUCCACAUAAUCCACCGCUUGUGCGGGUCCCCGUCAAUUCCUUUGAGUUUUAACCUUGCGGCCGUACUCCCCAGGCGGUCAACUUCGCGCGUUAGCUUCGUUACCAAGGGAAUCAAUCCCCCGACAACCAGUUGACAUAGUUUAGGGCGUGGACUAC
rnacentral:misc_RNA from 1 species